rnacentral:rRNA from 1 species
UGAGGAAUAUUGGGCAAUGGGCGCAAAGCCUGACCCAGCAACGCCGCGUGAAGGAUGAAGGCCCUUGGGUUGUAAACUUCUUUUGCAGGGGAAGAGAGCGGACGGUACCCUGAGAAUAAGUCACGGCUAACUACGUG